rnacentral:lncRNA from 1 species
AUGGAGCCUUUUCACAAAUACCUGUGGCUGUGGAUGAUCGUAGCGACUCUUCUACUGACCGGCCUCAUCAUCUUCCUCUUCAUCAUCAUCAACAAGUGCAUCUCCAGCUCAGCGAAACCAACGCUUCACAGAAGAGACGACUUCACCGGGAGAAACAACAAAUACACAGAGAGUGAAACUCCUCCUCUUCCUCCUCGGAAUCAGUAUCUGACAACAGUUUCAGAAAGCUAUGAGAACCUGCAAACCGCCCACCAUGAGCCCCAGCACUGCGACGUCCUGAGCCUAACUUUGGGGGCUCAGACGCCCCAAAACUACGAGAGUUUCCCGGUGAAGCAGAGCGAGGACGAGCAGUCGUUAUACGUUCAGCUGGCGGAGAACGAGCUGGUUUUCUCACAUAUAUCCAACGACUCAUCCAACGACUACGACGACGUCGGCGUGGAAGAAGAAGAUGAUGGCGAUUAUGACGAUGUUGGAUGAAAUAUUUGACGUGAUUGACCAAAUAGAAGAAAGUUUGUCAGAUUUUUUGACCAUCUCUUACUAUUGUCUGUUAAACCGUCAUGUGACCCUCAAAUUUUAUCCUUAGGGUCAAUGUGACCCCAGCACUUGAAAACAACAUUAAAUAGUUAGAGUUAAAACAUUUUAACCAAAUUUGUGUAUCAGACUCUUUAUGCUUGUGUUUAAUUACAAAAAUAUAUAAUUAAAAGCAUGGGUCCUU